AGAGCGCGCAGCAACUUCCUUCUUUGAUUCUUAACUGCUUUCCUUUUCUAUUUUUAUUUAAGAUACUUAAUUUGUUUUUAGUGAUUUACUCUUCUUUGUAAUUAGAUAGUGUGAUUAGCGAUUAUCUUUUCCUUGGGAAUGCAGUUUCCCUUCAACAGAAAUGAGCUUAAGUCAACAUCACAGUUGCCACUAAGUGUAAGGAUUCAUGAAGGGGAAAACAACGGACUCCAUUCCCUCUCUUCUGCUCAAGUAAUGCAAAUUAGAGACCAGGUGAAAUUCUAAGACAUCAUCUCCAGCCUUUCCGAAUGAUAUUCACUGCUCGGCACCCCAAAGCCUUUCUAUUUCUAACGCAGCAUUGUGCACAGCACCCUUAACUAGGUUCUGGCUGGUAUCAGAUCCCUCGGUGCCAAAAUAGUGAAGGAGGUUCCUCAAGUAGAAUUUUCAUCUUUCCUAAAAAAGACAGAGCUUGCUGUGUCUAAGGAUUUGGAACUUCUGAUAACAACUACAGUCCCUCGAGGGACAGUGGCCUGCUUGCUAGAAAUCAUUUCUCUAAGAACUACUUCCAGCAGCAAGACAGUUAAGAGACACGCUGGAUGAGGCAACAGUAGGGAAGAAGGGGAGAUGAUCUUCAACUGGCUGUGUGCCGACUGUAUGAAUAAAAACAGUAACCCCCAACAUCUGGGUUUUGCUAGAAAAAAUCUCUCAUGAAAGGCAGAGAUGUUCUAUCAGCUGUGAUGUUAUCUUUGUGUCGAAGAUCAAUCAGGAAACACGUAGCCUGAGUCACCUGGGUUUGAAUCCCAGUCCUCCCUCUUCCUAGAUGUUUGACUUUUGCAGGGAAGUGGCUUCCUCUGAACCUUAGCUCUAUCAUUUGUAAAAUGGAGGUAACGAAACCAGCCUCAUAGAGUUGUUGUUGUGAAGAAACCGAGGUAAGACAAGCUGGAUGCCUGGUGCAGUAAAACUUCAUGCCCCUCAGUUCAUGUCCCAGCUGGAGGCUUGCUACAAAAUGUAAGCUAGGCGGAACUCAAGGAAACGUAACAAUUCAAAAAAAUCAGGAGCUCUCAAAUGUCCAUGGAGAUAAAAAACUAAAUUACAGCAGAAUUAGCCUCAGUAAAUAAAACAAACAAGAUUAAAAUAAGCAGGUUCAUUGCUGUCGUUAU